CAUACAUAUUUUUAUGUCUUUAAAAAUUAAAAGACAUGACUACAAGUAGGUAAGAAUGAAGUAGUACUGUCUCCGGAAGUAUGUUAGUUUGCCUCCUAACUCUCAAUUACCUAAGACUUCUUAUUCAAAUUUACCCUUUAGCAAAGCUACACUGCCUAGAGCAAGCGUGAAGCCCUGAUUAUAAUCCCAGCACCAGCAAAA